AUUGAACGCUGGCGGCAGGCCUAACACAUGCAAGUCGAACGAGUGGCGGACGGGUGAGUAAUGUCUGGGACACUGCCUGAUGGAGGGGGAUAAAUACUGGAAACGGUAGCUAAUACCGCCUACCAUCGGAUGUGCCUAGAUGGGAUUAGCUAGUAGUAGGGGUAAAGGCUCACCUGGGCGACGAUCCCUAGCUGGUCUGAGAGGAUGACCAGCCACACUGGAACUGAGACACGGUCCAGACUCCUACGGGAGGCAGCAGUGGGGAUUAUUGGACAAUGGGCGAAAGCCUGCCGCAGCCAUGCCGCGUGGAUGAAGAAGGUCUUCGGGUUGUAAAGUACUUUCAGCGGGGAGGCGUUACCCGAAGAAAAAGCAACGGCUAACUCCGUGCCAGCAGCCGCGGUAAUAC
rnacentral:rRNA from 1 species